rnacentral:tRNA from 1 species
CAGAAUAUAGCUUAAAUAAAGCCCCUCGCUUACACCGAGGAGACAUCCGUGAAAGCCGGAUUAUUUUGA